rnacentral:rRNA from 1 species
GACGAACGCUGGCGGCGUGCUUAAUACAUGCAAGUCGAACGGAAAGGCCUGCUUUCCCUUGUGGAUUGCGGGUACUCGAGUAGCGAACGGGUGAGUAACACGUGAGUGAUAUGCCGCCCACUUGCGUAUAAGCCUGGGAAACUGGGUCUAAUUAUCGAUCGGACUGCAGUGUGGUGCCUGUGGUGGAAAAGGAAGUUCUAGUGGUUGGGGAUGAGCACGCGGCCUAUCAGCUUGUUGGUGGGGUAAUGGCAUCCCAAGUCGGCGACGGGUAGCCGUCCGGGGAGGGUGGACGGCCACAUGGGACCUGAGCUACGGCCCAGAGUGCUGCGGCAGGCAGGAGUGUGGAACAAUGCACAAUAGGCGGAAGCCUGAUGCAGCGACGCCUCGUGAGGGAUGACGGCCCUCGGGUUUUAAACGCCUGACGACCGCGAGGAAGCCACCUGGUUGGAAGGGUGGUGACGGUAGUUAUAGAGAAAGCACCGGCUAACUACGUG